GACGAACGCUGGCGGCGUGCCUAAUACAUGCAAGUAGAACGCUGAAGAGAGGAGCUUGCUCUUCUUGGAUGAGUUGCGAACGGGUGAGUAACGCGUAGGUAACCUGCCUUGUAGCGGGGGAUAACUAUUGGAAACGAUAGCUAAUACCGCAUAACAAUGGAUGACACAUGUCAUUUAUUUGAAAGGGGCAAUUGCUCCACUACAAGAUGGACCUGCGUUGUAUUAGCUAGUAGGUGAGGUAAUGGCUCACCUAGGCGACGAUACAUAGCCGACCUGAGAGGGUGAUCGGCCACACUGGGACUGAGACACGGCCCAGACUCCUACGGGAGGCAGCAGUAGGGAACCUUCGGCAAUGGGGGCAACCCUGACCGAGCAACGCCGCGUGAGUGAAGAAGGUUUUCGGAUCGUAAAGCUCUGUUGUAAGUCAAGAACGGGUGUGAGAGUGGAAAGUUCACACUGUGACGGUAGCUUACCAGAAAGGGACGGCUAACUACGUG
rnacentral:rRNA from 1 species